AGAUGAUGGUGUAGGGCUGAGACCUGAGAAACAAUAUUUAUUAAUUUGGUAGAGAAAGAUGAGUCUCAAGGGAAGAUGAAAAAGAAGAAACCAGAAAAAUAGAAGAAAAAUCAGCUUUACAGAAUUCUUUCUCAAGAGGAUUUAGACUCCUUUUCUAUUGAUAGGGCAUAAGAAUUGACUCAGACCUAGAAACUGGCUGGGACCAUCUCAUAAUGUUUGUGUACAUUCCUGUUGUCUUCUACCUCCCAUCCACCGUGUCUCUCUACUGCCUAUAACCAGCCUACAUAAGUUCUUUCAAGAGAUCAAGAAAGAAACAGAAAUCUAGACAGAGAAGGUGAAAAAGAGAAGACCUAACAGAGAGCUAAGAAAGAUAAAUGUGAUUGGAGAGGAAACUAUCCCCAAUUCUCUCUUCAUUGACAUUUGGGGCUGUACCAGUUUACAUUUUCACCAACAUUCCCACCAUUGUGGUGGCCAGCAACUGAGGAGGCUGAGAUAAGUGGAUUCCCUGAGCCCAGGAGGUGGAGGUUGCAGUUAGCCAAGAUUGCGUCACUGCACUCCAGCCUAGGCAACAGAGUGAGACCUGUCUCAAAAAAAAAAAAAAAAAAGAGUUAAAUUAAAAAAUAAAUAAAAGUCAUUUGACCAUAUAUGUGAUUGUUUAUUUCUUGCUCUCCAUCUAUUCUAUUUACCUAUAUAUCUAUCUUUAUUCCAGUACAAUGCUGUUUUUAUUAUUGUAACUUUGAAAAAAAAUUUUAAAAUCUAGAAGUGUGAUCUUUAACUUUUGUUCUUUUUCAAAAUUGUUU
rnacentral:lncRNA from 1 species